rnacentral:rRNA from 1 species
CACCGGCGGCUCGAGUGGUGGCCACUUUUAUUGGGUCUAAAGCGUCCGUAGCCGGCUUGGCAAGUCCCCUGGGAAAUCUGGCGGCUUAACCGUCAGGCGUCCAGAGGAUACUGCCAGGCUUGGGACCGGGAGAGGUGAGAGGUACCUCAGGGGUAGGGGUGAAAUCUUGUGAUCCCUGAGGGACCACCAGUGGCGAAGGCGGCUUCCUGGACCGCGACUGACGCUCAAGCGCGAAAGCUGGGGGCACGAACCGG